UGAUUGGCACGACGAACCUCCCAGUAGUCUUGUGUCUCGCGAGAGUUCCGGUUUUCGGCGGUGCUUUGUCAAUUGGUCUGGCUCCUCCGGCUCUUGGAACCUUUUGCCCGGUCGAGGCUGAGUAGGGGGCUGUCUGGUGUCGUGGGUACGGCCAGGGACUUUGACGAGGCGCAGGCUGGGAGCUGCGUCUCCUCCCACCCUGGAGCCCGAGGCCCAGAGUUCAAGUGGAGUCACACUUACAUUUUGAACUUCGUUUCUAAUGCAGACACUUAAAGCAGCUCUAUUCACCUCCCAAAAAGGUGUUCAAGCUGAGAUGGUAUAUAUAUGAUGCCGAAACCUUCAUCAACUCCUCCAAAGCUUGUUUGCACUCUUCUGUUUGGACUGUUUUUCCAUGUGUGGCUUGUGAAAUCACAGGAGUGACUGUUGCCCAGGUACGUGUUUAGCUGGCACAGCAGUGCUUUCCAGGUUGCCCACUAACCUUGUGAGUACAUGUGAAUAGAAUUAUUCUUUUUUCCACCAUCAAAAUGAGUGACCG
rnacentral:lncRNA from 1 species